rnacentral:lncRNA from 1 species
CCCACCCCGACCCCACUGUGUUCCACCUGAUGAGCAGCGAUGGCACCUGCACCCCAGAGCUGGACGUGCGGGCCAGGACAUCCCAGAGGAAGACGGCGUCCCCUGCGCUGAGGACCUGCUGCUGGUCAGGAGAGAAGGCCACAGCCUGCACGGGUUCCGAGUGGCCGAUGUACACCUAGGGGUAGCGGCGUCACAUGCAGGACCCCGAGGCGGGGCAUGGAUGCUGCCGUGUGCCCAGUCCCCAGGGACGGUGAGCCCCACACAGUGUGAGGCCCCGGAGGCACAGAGGAUCCUUGGGGGGUCACUCUCACCCCUCACCUUCUGCUCUCCCUGCCCCCACCCACACCUGCAGGGGUCUCCAGGGCCACCUGAGGAGGCUCCUGACCGCCAAAGCCACCUGCCUCCCCACGCACACACCUGGGGGCCUGGGCUGGCCUGUGUGGCGUAGUCCCACACCUUGAUGGUCCGGCCGGCGGCAAUCAGCAGGAAGCGGGCGUCCUCACUGAGCGUCAAGGAGGGGCAGGGCUCAGGGUGGACACCGGGCAGCUGGAACACAGUGCUCUUGGGAAAUGCCGUGUCUCAGGAGAGUGGCCAGCAGCCUGGGGCCUCCCUUCGUUGUGGGUGUGGCGACGGCCCCCCACCCAGCUGGAGAGGCUGCAGGCACAGAGGCCAGGCCUGGACAGCACAGGGAGGGCCAGGUCGGCGGGCCACAGCCCUGAGGCUCACCUCCCGGAUGAUGCGGCCCGACACAGCAUCCAGCACCACGACUCUGUUGGACGAGGUGGACACCAGCAGGUGGCCCAGAGCUGCAGGGCCAAAGCACACAGCCAUGGCUGAGUCCAGGCGGCUGCUGGCCAGGUCCAGAGUGCCGAUGUCAACUCGCAGCAGCUGGGGGUAGUGGUAAGUGGCCGACAGUCAGGGCCCCUGGGCAGAGCCGGUGCCACCCAGGGUCAGGCUCGGGAGGGAGGUCCCGGGGACACGCACUCGGCACCCAGGCAGCACCUGCCCUGCACAGGAACCUGGCCGCACGUGGGCCCCACAUGGCUGAUGUGUACUCUGCGACAGGAGGCGGGACAGGGCCUGGGUCCUGCUCCCGAGUGGCCGUGACCUCCCUCCUGCCCCUGCAGCCAGCCUCUCAUGGCCCAGUCUCCCUGGACCCAGGAGGGCUGCGGACUCACCUCAUCAAGGGAGGCCGAGCCCAUGACUGUCACUGUGCACCUGGAGGGUCCCACAAAGGCCAGCAGGCGGCCAUCCCUGCUGACUGCCAGGGCGCUGGGGCUCGCGGGGGCAUCCGGGCAUACCAUGUCCGCUGUGGCCACACGGGGCAGGGGUCAGCUGGGUGGGGAGUGCCGGGGUGCGCGUGGCCAGGGCCCGAGGAGGCCGCCGCCCCUGCCCCCACUUUCGGGAAACAC